GGUAGACACUAGCCCUGUAGCCAGGACGGUGAACUUUGAAAGUGGGGAUGAAUGUAACAGGGUAGCUUUAGGACCCAGGAGUUUUUAGGCCGCCCAUGGCUGACAGGCUACUUCUUUUAGCUUUAGGACCCAGGAGCUUUUAGGCAGCCCAUGGCUGACGUGCCGUUUCCUUUAUGAGGCCCGCGAUAGUUUAAGUUGCCGUGUUGUAAUGGAGGCAAUUGUUUGCUACGAGGUUUACCGAUUGCUUUAGGCAUUAGCUCCGUGUACUUCAGCGACAGCCUCCUCAGCUUGACGUGACGGUGGACAAGCGUUGAGCAGCGAGGUUACAAUUCAACAGCCCUCGCUCACUGACCUGAGAGCUUGAGCGACCAUGAAAGGUGUUCAGAACUUGAUACCUGUUCCCACAUUUCUCAACCAGCCCCUGGAGGUUGUCGCCUUCACUCUCAAUGUACUCCUCAACUGAUCUGUCUCCAAGCCAGUCUCCCCGGGUGAAUACAACUAUGGUGUGUCUCCACACACUCUCACCGAUGAUGCUCAUGUACUUAGAUGUGGCUUUUCUGUCUUCCUCUGUGAAUGGCCUGUUUGCCGGAACAACCAACAGAAAGCCGUGUGGACCUGGUGAGAUCAUGGACACACCACGUGCAAUCUCCUGUUCCACCAAAACUGAUGCAUCAUCGGGUGAUGUUCUCCAGCCCGGUGUAUCAACCACUGUGACAUGCUUGUUAAAAACGUGUGACUGAUGCAGGAGACAUUUUGUGCUGCCAUGAUGUUUUUUGAAUGCCUGCAGGGAAAUUAUGAUUUCACAGUCACAAUAUAAAAGUUAAAUAAAGUUCAAAA